rnacentral:rRNA from 1 species
AGAUUGAACGCUGGCGGCAGGCCUAACACAUGCAAGUCGAGCGGUAGAGAGGUGCUUGCAUCUCUUGAGAGGCGGCGGACGGG